rnacentral:lncRNA from 1 species
GCCGCUCAACAGAGUUUGGAAACAACGUGUAACCAAACGAAAAACUUCUUCCUCUUCAUAUCGAUUUCGGACUCCUUCCCGGAUUCCAUUUGACUUCUCACCGUGAUUUUGGCCGACCAACACAAUACACCUGUGAUGGCGCCUCCUCGCCCAAGAGAAACUCAGAAAUCCCGCGUGAGAUAGGAACCGAAAGUGUAAGUCGAACCUCACCCAAGUGAAACUCGGAAACCCCUUUUAUUCUACCAUUAGCAAAUCAAAAAAAUUUGGACUUCGUCCUCUCUAAUCGCACAAAGGAAUCGACAGUAACAAUAUCAUAUUUUGUUAGGCAAGUCAAGAAGUCAUGGGGGAACACUACGCAUCAGAGACGUAACAAUAUCAUCGAUGAAACAACAACAUUAAAGACAAUGAUGAUUUCAUACUGGUUCAUUUGUUCACAGGUUGUCAUGAUUACAAGGAUUCGCGGCAUCAGUUAUAAGGAUUUGUGGCAUCGGUAAAAAAGGGAGUGGUAAGAUUAGAAUAAAAGUAAAGAAGUUUUACCUACAGAGAAGAUACCAAGCCUGCACAGGUGUUCCAGGUAGCCGAAUAUUUCCUUUCACUUCAAAAUUGCUUAUCUGCUCCUUGCUCUGUUUUUCUAUGAUUAUCAUUUCUUCUUAUUUACGUACCUAUUUGUAUCACCGCUUUCCAGAGAGAAUGAAAAUGGAAGCAAAAGUUCUUGAUUGUUUUGUUCAAAACUAGAAUCCAAUAUUUGUGAAUGUUGUUUUGUAUUUUGUCGUAUGUGUCAGUUUUCCUUUAGUUUCAAUGUGUAGUUGUGAGGGCUGUUAAGAUCUCUCUUGUUUUUUUUAUAAGUCAUGUUGGAAAUUUUGAUGCUAGGUUCCCUCUCCUGAACUUUUCAUUCUUCCUCUAAUUUAUAAUCAAAUAUUAGGGUUUCAAACUGAUAUGUGUUGUUGUUGAGAUAUUAUCCAUGGAAAUAAUAAUGAAGAACUUUCUAAGAUGAUAUAUGUUGUCUUGCCAUUUGAUACAAACUUCCUGGUAUGCCUCAAAGUAUCAAGUUAUGUUAUACUACUUUAUGGUUUGACUUUUGGGUCUUUGUACUUGUUUCCCCAAUAUUGUUAAUUUGCUAUGAAAUCUAUAUGUAGGACAAGGUAUGUACAAAGCCAAGUUGUUUCUACAUAUGAAUACAAGAAGAAAAAGACAAAACACACUUGGCAACUAUGAGGAAACCACAUUCCUAGGAUAUUAUUUUUUUGUAAUUUUUUCAAUUCCUUAAUGUAUUCAAAAAUGUAGAAUUCUUGGGACAAAAAGUGUAAAACAAAAAUGUGAAUUUAUUCCUCUUUUUGGAUUACUCAAUUUUGUGGUAGAAUAGGAUGCUUGAUGUAAAAAAGAAUAAACAAACGAGAAAUUUAUUAUUUAGACAAAGGUUCAUGAUUAAUCAUCUUUUUUUGAA